rnacentral:rRNA from 1 species
AUUGAACGCUGGCGGCAUGCCUUACACAUGCAAGUCGAACGGUAACGCGGGGCAACCUGGCGACGAGUGGCGAACGGGCGAGUAAUGCAUCGGAACGUGCCCAGUAGAGGGGGAUAGCCCGGCGAAAGCCGGAUUAAUACCGCAUACGACCUACGGGUGAAAGGGGGGGAUCGCACGCCCUCUCGCUAUUGCAGCGGCCGAUGUCAGAUUAGGGAGUUGGUGGGGUAAAGGCCUACCAAGCCGACGAUCUGGAGCUGGUCUGAGAGGACGACCAGCCACACUGGGACUGAGACACGGCCCAAACUCCUACGGGAGGCAGCAGUGGGGAAUUUUGGACAAUGGGCGCAAGCCUGAUCCAGCCAUGCCGCGUGCGGGAAGAAGGCCUUCGGGUUGUAAACCGCUUUUGUCAGGGAAGAAAUCUUCUGGGUUAAUACCUCGGGAGGAUGACGGUACCUGAAGAAUAAGCACCGGCUAACUACGUGCCAGCCGCCGCCGUAAAAC